rnacentral:rRNA from 1 species
UACGUAGGGGGCAAGCGUUAUCCGGAUUUACUGGGUGUAAAGGGAGCGUAGACGGCGAGGCAAGUCUGAAGUGAAAACCCGAGGCUUAACCACGGGACUGCUUUGGAAACUGUCAUGCUAGAGUGCAGGAGGGGUGAGUGGAAUUCCUAGUGUAGCGGUGAAAUGCAUAGAUAUUAGGAGGAACACCGGUGGCGAAGGCGGCUCACUGGACUGUAACUGACGUUGAGGCUCGAAAGCGUGGGGAGCAAAC